AACGAACGCUGGCGGCAGGCUUAACACAUGCAAGUCGAACGACCUGGCAGCUUCGGUCCGCUAUGCUAGUGGCCCACUGGUGAGUAACACGUGGGUAUAUCCCCUUUAGUACUUACUAACCAAGGAACACUUUGGCUCUUACCCUAUUAGCCCUUCCGAGGUACGAUUUAUGGCUAAAGGAUUUGCCCGCGUCUGAUUAGGUAUUUGGUGAGGUAAUGGCUCACCAUGCCGAGGAUCAGUAGCUGGUCUGAGAGGAUGAUAAGCCAAACUGGGACGGAGACACGGCCCAGACUCCUACGGGAGGAAGCAGUGGGGAAUAUUGGAAAAUGGGGGCAAACCUGAUCCAGCAAUGCGGGGUGAGUGAAGAAGGCCUUCGGGUUGUAAAGCUCUUUCGAAGGGGACGAUGAUGACGGUACCCGUAUAAGAAGCCCCGGCAAACUUCGU
rnacentral:rRNA from 1 species